rnacentral:antisense_RNA from 1 species
CCAUUAAUGGGAAAAAGUCAACAUCGCGUGGUUCUUUUGAAGCUACUGCAGUAGAUAAUACUACUGUAUCGCCAUAACGAACUAGCACGGCACCAUUAGCUUGUUUAGCAAGUUGCCCUGUUUCAAUCGUUAAUGAUCUAUUUGCCCAUUCAGUUUUAAAAACUUUUUUCUCUUGAGACAUUACGAAUCUCCUCUCAUAUAUCUAUUAGUUACAUCAUAUCAUUUCUCAGAAAAAUUUUAUAUUAGUAUAUUACUUUUUAAAUAAUAUGCUUUCUAGAUUAUAAAAAAGGGAAAGGACCCUGAAGGUUCUUUCCCU